rnacentral:rRNA from 1 species
AGGCCUUCGGGUCGUAAAGCUCUGUUGUUAGGGAAGAACAAGUACCAGAGUAACUGCUGGUACCUUGACGGUACCUAACCAGAAAGCCACGGCUAACUACGUGCCAGCAGCCGCGGUAAUACGUAGGUGGCAAGCGUUGUCCGGAAUUAUUGGGCGUAAAGCGCGCGCAGGCGGUUCCUUAAGUCUGAUGUGAAAGCCCACGGCUCAACCGUGGAGGGUCAUUGGAAACUGGGGAACUUGAGUGCAGAAGAGGAAAGCGGAAUUCCACGUGUAGCGGUGAAAUGCGUAGAGAUGUGGAGGAACACCAGUGGCGAAGGCGACUCUCUGGUCUGUAACUGACGCUGAGGCGCGAAAGCGUGGGGAGCGAACAGGAUUAGAUACCCUGGUAGUCCACGCCGUAAACGAUGAGUGCUAAGUGUUAGAGGGUUUCCGCCCUUUAGUGCUGCAGCUAACGCAUUAAGCACUCCGCCUGGGGAGUACGGUCGCAAGACUGAAACUCAAAGGAAUUGACGGGGGCCCGCACAAGCGGUGGAGCAUGUGGUUUAAUUCGAAGCAACGCGAAGAACCUUACCAGGUCUUGACAUCCUUUGCCACUUCUAGAGAUAGAAGGUUCCCCUUCGGGGGACAAAGUGACAGGUGGUGCAUGGUUGUCGUCAGCUCGUGUCGUGAGAUGUUGGGUUAAGUCCCGCAACGAGCGCAACCCUUGAUCUUAGUUGCCAG